GUUCAGUGAGAGGGAAAUUUUAAUCUAGGCAGGGUAACCAGGAAGAUGGGGCUCCCUCUCCUGCCAGCUCCUAAUCUAAAAUUAAGGUUUUACUCUAGGAGGAGGCAAGUGGCAGGCAUCUCCUGGGGCUAUUCCCCACUCUUCCAGAGGCAAGAGAUAGGACUGGAGCUCCCUUCCAAAGCACGGGUCUCACUUCUGGAUUAGAAGCCCAGCUCACGCAGAGAAGGCCAAGAGUGUUGGGUUCCAAAUGCUUCUACUGGACACGUUCCGAGGAUCGACACCAGGAGAAGCACAGUGGAAAGACCAGAGGCUACUGUGUACAUUUCAGCGUCCCACUUACGUGCCAAGGCAGCUACCACCAUCCAUGGCGUCUUUGUCUACACUGGCCAGACUGGCGUCAAGAUUUCAAUGCCUGUUAGAAGCUACAGACUUGGAAUAUGAUGCUCAAGCCCAUGUCCACGUGCAAAUGAUGAGACUUGGAGGGAUAACGCCUUCAGGGUCUUCUUCAGUUCAUGGAUUAGCAGAAAACCCUGGAGACCGAGGAGGAGAAGGAAGGGGCAAGGUACAGUGUGCACAUUAUUGUUACACAUAGGAAGUUCUUCAAAGAGAUGGUAUGUGAGAAAAUGGAUGUAAAACCUGAGAUGGCUCAGUGGUUAAGAACACUGACUGUUCUUCCAGAGGUCCUGAGUUCAAUUCCCAGCAAUCACAUGGUGGCUCACAACCAUAAGAUCUGAUGCCCUCUUCUGGUGUGUCUGAAGACAGCAACAGUGUACUUAUAUAUAAUAAAUAAACAAAAUCUAAAACAAAAAACAAAAACCUUUCAGCUGUUAAAAAAAUAGAUAUCUAAAUCAAGGUGGCCUGAGGUGUCUCAAUGCCAGGGUGUGUGAACUGUGUCUCUCGGUCAAAGUCUUCUCUGGCCUAUUCUGCGCAUCCUCCAUCGGGUUUUGAACAGCCCUGGCAUAGACGGAUGCUGGCAAGCAUGUGACCACAGUAGCAUCUGUAGACCUGAAACCCAUCACCAUUAACGAAGUUCCUACUGACACCUACUGCCAGCUCUUCUCUGUAGACUGUCUCACAGGCAGUGGGAUGCUGCUGACACACACAUGGGCACUCUACCACGGGCAGGAAGACCACAGUCUUCAUGUCAGAGCCCCGUGCAGGCCUUCAGGGCAUCUUCACUUUCUGCAGCUUUGGUGAGGGAAGAGCUUUGGUGAGGGAGGUUUUACCACCUGGGUGACAGAAUGUCUGUUGAUCACAGUAGGUCCAAGAUGGAGUUCUCCACUUAGCCUGCCCCCCAUGCUUUCACAGUUCUGGAUGAUCCUUAAAACUCCAUCCUCACCACCCACACCUCCCUAGAGCACUCUGGUUGUCCCUCCGUGGUAGAUGGUAGGCCACCUACGACGUCUCUCAUAGAAGUCACAAUACUAAGAAAUCAGUCUACACUGACUCUCGUUACCCCCUUUUCUGGAUCGUAGCUUCUAUAGACGCUUCUCUUGGUUUGACAGAACCUGACAGAAUUCCAGAUCAACCUGGUGCCCUCCUUUUCACCGUCUUCCCUCUGGCCAUGCCUCUGUCAUCUCUGCUGAGAACAUGAACACGUUCAUGUAGCAGAGAUCACUAAUCCUUGCCUUGAGACAGCCAACCGGAUGGUGAAAUGCGACCUUUACUGUGACAAACACCUGGCCUACUGCCUGUUGUGUCCUGGUGACACGGCUCUCAAAGAUGCCAAAGCUGCCAUCGUCAUCGGCUCCAAACAAAACAUCCAGUGUGAACUGGUAUCCCCCUGGCUUCCGGCUUGCUUUAUUCUUUUAAAGAAUCAUUUAUUUAUUUCACAUAUAUGUAUACACUGCAGCUGUCUUCAGACACACCAGAAGAGGGCAUCGGAUCCCAUUACGGAUGGCUGUGAGACACCAUGUGGUUGCUGGGAACUCAGGACCUCUGCAAGAGCUGUCAGUGCCCUUAACCUCUGAGCCAUCUCUCCAGCCCACCUCCCAGGUUGUUAUUAAUUAUAGCUUCUCACUGUGGUCGCAUGGGAGGCCUGGAUAAGGGGCAGCAACUGGUGAGCAGCCCCAACACCACAACACUGUUGAGAGCUGGGCUCAUCUGAAGCACAGCUGGACUCCGUGUGUUCCAAAUAUGCCUGUGUUCCAUGACAUGUGUGUGAGGGCGUGGCAGGAGGAGAGGUCUUGAGAUACCUUAUUUUUUGGAUAUUUUAUGUAUUUACAUUUUAAAUGUUAUCCCCUCUCCUGGUUGUGGGUGGACAUUCUUGAUGGAGAGACUAGAGAUGGAAUAAUGGAGAUUUUAUACAUCGGUAUAUAUUGAAUAUAUACAUUAUAUAUAAGGAAAUAUAUAAUAACAUAUGUAUUGGAGAUGGAGAAAAAUCGAUUUUAUUUAUAUAUACAUAUAUAAUACAUAUAUUUUAUAUAUAAGGAAUAUAAUACAUUAUAAUGUAUUAUAGCAUGCCAUGCUCCCAGAUUCUGGGUUUCAAUGUAAUUGACAGGCCCCAACUCUUACAGAUAGUCAAUUGCGAUCCACUCUGUCUCUUCUAUGUACAGAAUUUUCCCAAGAGUAUAUCAAAGGAUGAUAUUUAAGGGGGAAAACGGUUUUGCGUAUAAAAACAUGCAUGCAUUAAAUUAUGUGAGAUCUGAGAUCUGCUUUAAAAACGCCCAGGGAAAAUAGAAAGCUCCCGGUAACACACUGACUAUUGCACAUGGAUGGCGGACAAGUAUACUGAGACUCGCUCAUGAUGCUACUGUCUCUGGUUUUGUAUGUCUUAAAGUCCCCACUCACAGUUUUAAAAGGUAAAUGGCAAAGUCAAAAAUGCUGUCGGGGCUGAUCGAUAGCUCUGUGUUAGGACAGCUGCCUGGUGUGGAGGACUGAUCUAGAGCUCUGUGGUAGGACAGUUGCCUAGGAGGCAUAGGGCACUAGCCAGGUCAGGAAGAUGGAGGACUUGUGUGUCUGCCCGGAGACAACGAUGAAGGGGAAUGGACAAGUACAGUUAUGAACCCAGCCCUUUAGGUACUCGACGUCGUUGAAUUCUCCCCCUCACAGUUCUACUCAAUGACUGCAUCUUAACCAAGUGAUUGAAUUUUGCGACAUCAAUGUGGGACUGCGGAACAUGUUCGCCCCCUGGUGGAUACAUUAGGAAGUACAUGUUGUCACCAUUGGCUUCUUGUCUUAAAAAAAAAAACGUUCCAACAGGGACAGCAAUCAACUGUGGGACCUGGGACAGGAGAAUAGUCUGGACUUUUCAAAAUUGUCAACACCAUGAGAGACAAAAUGGGAGCCGGAAUUGCUGGAGCAGGCCUACUGCCUACCUACUUGGGAAACUGGGACUUAAGUACAAAACCUGUUUAGGGUUUAGGCUAUGAAGUGAGUUCAAGUUCGGCCAAGGCAGCCAGUGACACCCUGUCUCAAUCGCAAGUGAAAAAGAGGACUGGAGAAGUCACUCAGUGGUAGAGCCCCUGCCUAGAGCGACAAGCUGUAAGUUCGAUCCCCAGCACAAAGUAAGGUGCGGUUUCAAAAGUCAGGUGAAUUUUUAACUUAAACUGGGGAUAUAUGAUCUCUAUUACAAAGCGUAAUAUCUGGAUCCCAGGUUUAAAAAGAAAGGCUAAAACGGUUGUCAUGGAGCUGCGGAGGGCUCAGUGGGUGAUGUACUUGCUGCACGGGACCGGAGUGUGACCCCAGCACUGGUGAAAUGACGCUAUGUUUGGUCGUACACAUUUGUAAGCCCAGCACUGGCAGGCAAGGUGGACCCCGGCUAGUCCUUCCUGAUCAGCAAACUCUAGCCUGUGAGGGAUCCUGUGAGAACCAAACUAGGUGGUCCCUGGGGAGCCCAAAACCGACCUCCAAAUUCCACAUACAGGCACACACGUGCACCCCACACACACGCACAUGUUCUCACUCACAAACACGUGUAUACACAUGUACCCACCUACACGUGUACAUCCACAUACACAUGUGCGCCCCCUCACACAGAUGCCCCAACCCACAUCUUCCACAUGUAUGCACACGCCCAUGCACCCACCCACACAGUACAUCUCAUACACAUGGACACACACGGAGAAGUAUUGUGGAGAUAAUCCGAAAUUUUGACAAAUUAUAUAUUUAAUGAUGUUCACAAGUAAUGUUUUAAAAAACAUUUAACUACGACAAAAAAACCUCUGAGACUUUUUUAAGUCAUGUGUCAGUGUGUGGUUACAUGCACGUGUGUGCAGGUGACCACAGAGGUCAAAGGUAUCAUAUCUUUCCUUCAGGAUUUUCCUGGUACUGGCAUUCAUUCAUUUAUUCAACACAAAAUGCCAGGAGACAGUGCUAAACAGAAUGGCCACAGCCCUAGAAUCCACCCUCUGAUGGAGAAGAUAGAUGCUCGUUAACUCCUGGAGUCAGUCCAAUCUUCGUUAUUACCAAACCAGAUUAAAAAGCAAUGAGGGAAAGGAAACCGACCGAAGCCGAAAGGUAACAGCGAGUUUCCCCGAGCUGCAGUUCAAAGAGUAAAUAAGAGAUAAUAGCACACAGAGGCGAGAGUCUGCGCAGCAGACCUGCAUGGGAAGCGUGGCAUUACCCAUAGGUACGGGACAGGAGGAGCAAGGCCCAAGCCAGGACCCCAGCAUCCGUGUCAAACACCAGGCCCAGUGCCGUGACUCUGUGAUCCCAGUGCUGGCGAGGAAGGAUGCUUGGGGCUCGCUGGCUAGACCUUCCUGCUGAAUCCCUGAGCUCCAGGUUCAGUGAGAGACUCAGUGUCCUGGUUUGCUAUCUGUUGUGAUAAGAACCAUAACCAAAAACAACCUGGGAAGAAACGGGUCCAUUGGCUUAUGUGUUCUGAUCUCAAUCCGUCGCUGAGUAAAAUCUGGGCAGAACUCAAGCAGGAGCAGAGGCAGGCAGUGUGGAGGACUUCUGCUUACUCGAUUGCUCUCCACCGUUUGCUCAGUCUGCUUUCUUAUACCGCCCAAGACCACCAGCCCAGAGUGACACCACCACAGUGGGCUGGCUUUUCCCACAUCAGCCUUAAGUGGUGACUCAGCAAUCAAGAGCACUUUGUUCCUGAUCGUGGCGGCGCACACCUUUGAUGCAGCACUUGUGAGGCAGAGACAGGCGGACCUCUGUGAGUUCAAGGCCAGCCUGGACUCCGUAGAGAGUUCUAGAACCGCCUGGACUAUAUAGUGGGUUCUAGGACAGCCAGGGCUACACAGAGAGAAACCCUGUAUUUAAAAAGGAAAGAAAAAAAGCACAUGUUGCUUUUUUCGAGGACCCUGGUACACUUCUCCCACACGGUGGCUCACAGCUAUCUGUAAGUCUAGUUCCAGGGGAUCCAACACUCUCUUCUGACUUCUGAGGGCACAGCCAUUCAAACAGUACACUUGCAGACAUGCAGGCAAGCCAUCGUAUACAUAAAAUAAAAUAAAUCAAUCUUUAAAAAAUAAUAAAGAAAGAAAACGCCCACAAACGUGUCCCACAGGACAGCCUUGCCUGAGACCCUCCCUCCCCAGAUGAGUCUGGGUUUACGUCAAAUGAGUUUUGUGUUUGUUUCACUAAAACUAACCACUACGCCCUGUCUUGAAAAAAUAAAUAAAUAAAGUGAAGUGGACC